rnacentral:lncRNA from 1 species
GUCAUGGUGAAUCUAAAUAUUUCUUCUAAGGCUGGAGACUCACAUAUUGUUUGAUUUCUUGGUGUACUGAACCAAAGUCAUGGACCCAGGAUAAGGAAGAGAAUGAAUUUAGAGACGAAGUAAGGAAGGACAAACAAUACAUGUUAAUAGUUUCAUAAGAAUACGUCUCAUACCUACACUGGCCCAAUAUAUUAUGAUAGAACCCAAGCAAGACCAUUUGGAAUAAAAAGUUUCUCAAAAACCACUGUCAAGGGACUUCCCUGGUGGUCCAGUGGUUAAGAAACCACCUUCCAAUGCAGGGGACAUGGAUUUAAUCCCUGUUCUGGGAACUAAGAUUUCACAUGCUGAGAGGCAACUAACCUGUGUGGCUGCAACUACUGAGCCCCUGGGCCGCAACUAGAGAGCCUAUGUGGCAGCUGUGAGCCCAUGUGGCAGCUGUGGAGCUCACGUGCUCUGGAUCGCAACUAGAGAGCCCACGUGCCACAGCUGUGGAGCUCACGUGCUCUGGAUCGCAACUAGAGAGCCCACGUGCCACGGCUGUGGAGCUCACGUGCUCUGGACUGCACACCAAAGCUAGGGAGAAGACCACAUGCCACAACCAAGACCUGAUGCAGUUGUAAAUAAAUAAAUAAAAAAAGAAACCAAGAUCCAGAAAUUCUAUCAAAAUGCACUUCUGAAGGCUGCUGGAGUGCAAAGCUUCCAGAACACACUGAUGAAAAAAGGCUGGAAUGGAUAUCUGACUUCGGCUCUGCCAGCCGGAUGGAGCAAGAGAAGCAGAAAAACACACUGCGUGGAGAAUCUUUCUAGUGUCAACAGCAUCCUUGGGGCUGCGGUUUCCAGAGGCAGUGGCUGUGGAGCCAGUGCCACACCCAGUGUCCAGAGAGAGCUGCAGUGGUGGCUCAAAGCACAGGACCACUGUUUUACGGUGGCAAGAAGGGCAGCCUCGACUCCCUUGGCUGUGUAGUCUGCUUUGGGCUGUAGUUUUUCUGCUUUGCCUCCCUUUCUUUCUGCCUUUUACGAGUCUGGUUCCUCCACCCAAAAUUUUUGUAAACUCCUCAAUAUAUCCUGUCAUAAAUACCUUUCCUGUUUUAUCAGCCGUAAUUCUUGCGACUAAAGGACCGCGUUUACAUCAAUAGUGCUCAUGUUUGAGUUGGAAGGUUAGGGUAGAGUGUGAAGGGUCUCAUAUGUCAUGCCACAUGUUUUUUCACAGUGAAGACUUUAAAAUAUGAGAAUGUUGUGAUCAUAUUUGUAUUUUAAAAAUAGUUCUCUUGUCUGUUUGAGCUUGGUAGGAAGGAUAGAGAUGAGCAUGCCAGGUAGAAGACUAUUGUGAUGGUCAAGUGAGAGAUAAUAAUGGCUUUAAAAGAAAGGGGCAGUUAGAAGGAGAGAGGAAAAGGAGAUUUGAGAGGUUUUCUGGAAGCUAAAUGUAUUGGUUUGCUGACUCACAGAGUGGGGUAGAGGAAGAAGUUGCUGAUGUCUUUGAGGCUACUCAGUUGGAUGAACAGAUGGAUAUAUAGGUGCUGGGGCCAUUGACGAAGUAAGCUAAAGAGGUUUGGGUGUAUGCUGAAUUAUUGAACUUAAGGUGUACUUGGAGAUAGUCAGUAAGUUACAUUUCUAAAUCAACAGAAUAUUUCUUUCAAACGACCUAUUGCAGGGAAUUCCAGUUUAUAAAACAUUUGAAAAUAGGCUCUGGCUAAAGUAGGUAGGGAGCCUAGAAAUCCUACCUUUUGGGACUGCCCCCUCGAUUCUGAAGAAGGGCCUCAAGGUCCAUCCUCAGAAUGCCAAGUCUCCAGGUGUAAUAGACACCUGUAUAUAGAGACUGUGGAUCUGUGAGUGUAGAUCCACAGCCUCUCUCCAAAGCCCCCAGUGCUUGUGCUUACCCAUGGGUUUGCCUUGUUUCUCUUUUGCCUCCCAUUGCUGCUGGCAGUGCUGUGUACGCACCCGCCACUGCUACCAGGAAACCCUCC